AAAAAAAAAAAAAAUGGCCAUCGUGCUCAAUAUCAAAUCACUAAUAAAAGUUUCCACAUGUAAAUGGAACGGGCGAAUAAUUCAAAGCCAGUGGUCACAACCUUUUCUAUGACAAAAUAACUGGAUUAAGUUAAAUUUGUUAGACAGUAAGCAUUACAAUUAACACUGUAACAACACUUCUCCUUGUCUGAAAAAGCUUAAGGCACAGCUACUUAACAUAUUCCAAAAGCAACAAUUAGCAAACCUUAAGUAAGUUCAGCACUUGCUGUACUUGACAAUUAGUGAUUUUAUUCAACAGCAGCAAGGUAAUAAACCACAGCACUUCAAUAUCAAAGAUACCCAGAUACCCAAAAUUUUAACAUUAAGCAAUUAAAUUUUAACCGGGUGGAAGCCAUUUGAAGGAAGAGAACAGAAUAUAUAUAUGUACACACACACACACACAUGAAAGGGACAUUAAUGCAGUUUCAGCAAAAAGAGACGAACCCAGUUGUUUGUAGACCUUGUUUUUCUUAUCAGUGGAAUGAGAAGCUCGGAUUGUGAAGCAAAGAAGCUGAGCUUGUGACUUGCUUCUGUUCUUACUUGUACAAGCUUGCCAUGAAGCUGAACUAUUAGUUCCAGUUCCUCUUACAAAUAAAGGCUCCGCAGCCAUUUUACUUUCUUUUUUUUUUUUUUUUUUUU
rnacentral:lncRNA from 1 species